rnacentral:rRNA from 1 species
GACGAACCGUACGAACGUUAUUCGGAAUUACUGGGCUUAAAGGGUGCGUAGGCGGCGCGGAAAGUAGGGUGUGAAAUCCCUCGGCUCAACCGAGGAACUGCGCUCUAAACUACCGUGCUCGAGGGAGGUAGAGGUGAGCGGAACUGAGGGUGGAGCGGUGAAAUGCGUUGAUAUCCUCAGGGACACCGGUGGCGAAAGCGGCUCACUGGACCUCUUCUGACGCUGAGGCACGAAAGCUAGGGUAGCGAACGGG